GUGCUCACUUCGGCAGCAUAUAUACUGAAAUUGGAAUGAUACAGAGAAGAUUAGCGUGGCCCCUACACAAGGAUGACAUGCAAAUUCUUGAAGCUUUCCAUAUCUUU
rnacentral:snRNA from 1 species